AGUUAGUUUUAUUGGUCAAUAUUCAUGUGGACUCCUAUAAAUACGUUAACCAAACUCACCUUAUUCCAUCACUUCACUUUUAUAAUCCCAAAUUAAAUUCAAUUAGCUGUUCUUUAUAUUGAGUUAUUUUGAUUAUAUCAUGGAUUUUGAAAGCAUAACUGAGUUUCUUGCUAACAAAACCAUCUUCGUUACUGGUGCAACUGGUUUCAUUGCCAAGAUUCUAGUGGAGAAGAUACUUCGGAUUCAACCAAAUGUUAACAAAUUAUACCUUCUUGUAAGGGCUAGAGAUGCUCAGGCAGCCCAUGUUCGGCUACAACAUGAGGUGCUAGCCAAGGAGUUGUUCAAAGUUGUAAGAGAAAAAUGGGGAGCAAAUUUCGAGUCUUUUGUGUCGGAUAAAAUAACCGUGGUUGCCGGUGAUACAUCGUACGAGAACUUAGGACUUACUGUUGAUCAGCUGAAAGAAAUGCACAAGGAUAUAGAUGUCGUUAUCAACGUAGCAGCAACCACAAAAUUUGAUGAAAGGUAAUAAUUUAUCAUUUAUGCACCCAUGAUAUAUUUAUCAACGCAUGGAUUGGUAUUUAAGACUACGAUCAAGCUAUUAUGUAUUCAUGCGCAUAAUAUAUUACAUAUUUACAUGUACGUAAAUUGCAUAUAAUGAGUGUAGGUAUGAUGUUGCGUUGGGUGUUAAUACCCUAGGAGCCAAAAAUGUUGUAAACUUUGCAAAGAAUUGUUCUAGAAUCCAGUUUGUCAGAGUUCACCUAUUUGGGAUGAACUUCUGCAAAGAAAACUGACUAGAGAGAGAGAGAAAUAGAGAGAACUAUUUUCUGUUAUUGAUUGAAUGAAUUAAGGAGUACAAGCUGAGAGUAUAAAUACAUUAGGAUGAGCUACAUUGAUGAUGUGUUAGCACCAAUCAUAAACGUGCAUUGGUACACAUCAGCUAGGCUAAUUAUUACACCAAAAAUCAGUUAUAACUAACUCCCUUGAACUAAGGCAAAUCAGUUAGGAAUGUUCUAGAAGAAAUGAUUGUUGCAGCCUUGCUUGUUUGCUGUUGUUGUGAUCAUGUUGCUGGCAGUGUUGCUGAGCUGAGCUGAAUACCAACACCCCCCCCCCCUCAAACUUGGCAUGGGAGAGUCAUUUAUCAUGCCAAGUUUGGUAGACAGAUUUCUGUGUUGAGCACCGGGUAAAACUUUAGUAAAAAUAUCAGCUAACUGAUUGUGAGUAGGAAGAUAACUUAGAUGCAAAAGCCCCUCAAGAACCUUAUCUCGAGUAAAAUAACAGUCCACUUCAAUAUGCUUUGUGCGCUCAUGGAAGAUAGGAUUUGUAGCAAUGUGAAUGGCUGACUGGUUGUCACAAUGUAGAGCAACAGGCUUCAAAUUGUGCACCCCUAGUUCUUCAAGAAGUCGAACAAUCCAGGUAACUUCAGCAGCAGCUUGAGACAUUGCUCUAUAUUCUGCUUCAGAAGAACUUUUGGAGAUGGUUGAUUGCUUCUUCGAUUUCCAACUAAUAGGAGAAUUUCCUAGUAGUAAAACAUAACCAGUAACAGAUCUCCUUGUUGUUGGACAGGCUGCCCAAUCUGAAUCAGAAAAAGCUUGCAAGGUGAGCUGUUCUGUAGCCCUGAGUAGAAUACCUUGACCUGAAGUGGAAUGAAUGUAUCUGAGAGUGUGAGUCAAAGCUUCAAUAUGUUGCAGAGUAGGAGAGUGCAUAAAUUGACUCAAACAUUGAACAGCAAAGGAGAUAUCUGGUCUUGUGUGAGUGAGAAAAUUCAGCUUGCCAACAUAACAUCUAUAUAGUUCUGCAUUGUGAUAAGGUGUUCCUUCAGUGGUGAGCUUUAGAUUGAGAGGAAAUGGAGUCACAACAGGUUUGGAAAUGUCCAGCUCACAAUCUUGAAGAAGUUCCUUGGUAUACUUCUUUUGAGUAAGAAUAUAACCUUCAUUGGUAUGACUGACUUCAAUACCAAGAAAAAAAUUAAGAACUCCCAAAUCCUUAAUGCUGAAUGUGAGAUGCAAAUGUGAUUUCAGGGCAGCAAUUUUAUCCUCAUUGGAUCCUGUGAUGAGGAUGUCAUCAACAUAUACAGCCACCACAGUCAAAUCACCAGAAUCUUGUUUGAUAAACAAAGAGUAAUCACUUUUAGACUACUUAUAACCCUGUGACUUUAGUUCAGAGUGUAAUCUAGCAAACCACUGCCUUGAUGCCUGCUUUAAACCAUAUAAAGACUUGUUGAGUUUGCAAACAAAACCAGGUGGGGCAGUAACACCCACAAGAAUUUUCAUAUAGACUUCCUCAUCAAGGUGUCCAUGAAGAAAAGCAUUGUUGAUAUCUAGUUGGAAAAUUCUCCAAUUCUUACUGGCAGCUAGGCUGAUUAAACACCUGACAGUGGACAUUUUGACAACUGGAGAAAAGGUCUCAUGAUAGUCAAUGCCAUACUUUUGAGUAAACCUUUUUGCUACCAACCUUGCUUUAUAUCUCUCAAUUGUUCCAUCAGCAUGUUUUUUAAUUCUGUAAACCCACUUGCACCCUAUUGCCUUCUUUCCUUUAGGAAGCAAAACAAAAUCCCAUGUAUUGCUCUUCUGUAAAGCAGUAAUCUCAUUGUCCAUAGCCUGUAUCCAUUUAGAAUCUGUUGCAGCCUCAGUGUAAGAAGUUGGUUCAACAAGUUCCAUGUGUGCAGCAAUUAGCAAUCUGUGUUGAAUUGGUAGGCUGUCAUAUGCUACAAGAUUACACCAAUGCUUUGUAGGCUUAGAACAUAUGAAAUCUUGUAAGUGAGCAGGUGGUUUGGAAGGUCUGGUAGAUUUUCUGGGAGCUGGGGUUCAGUUGGUGGACUGGUAGAUAGAAUGGGUGUAUCAGCAGUAGAAGGAGAAGUGUGUAAAAUAUCAGCAGAAGAAGAAGUAGGAGAAUUGGAGUUGGAGUGGAUUUGUGAGGUUUGAGGAUUACUGAAGAUAUUGUGAGGCUGGUCUAGUGAAGUGGAUGGUGUAAAAGAGAUUUCUGUAGAGAAAGGAGUCACAACAGGCAAGAAGAAUUUAUUUGAGUAGGUAGUAUUUGGAGAGUUUGAAAAAUGAAAGGGAAAAUGUUUUUCAUGAAACACUACAUCCCUAGAAACAACAAAUUUGUGUGUAGCUAAAUUUAGUACUUUGUAGGCCUUUUGAUGAGGUGGAUACCCAACAAGAACACAGGGU